UGACUUCUUCUGUGCCUGUUCGUGGCCUCUUU
rnacentral:piRNA from 1 species